UUUUUUUUUGGUUUUUGUUUG
rnacentral:sRNA from 1 species